UGCUGGAGGUAUCAGAAGUGCGAAUGCUGACAUAAGUAACGAUAAAGCGGGUGAAAAGCCCGCUCGCCGGAAGACCAAGGGUUCCUGUCCAACGUUAAUCGGGGCAGGGUGAGUCGACCCCUAAGGCGAGGCCGAAAGGCGUAGUCGAUGGGAAACGGGUUAAUAUUCCCGUACUUGGUGUUACUGCGAAGGGGGGACGGAGAAGGCUAUGUUGGCCGGGCGACGGUUGUCCCGGUUUAAGCGUGUAGGCUGGUUUUCCAGGCAAAUCCGGAAAAUCAAGGCUGAGGCGUGAUGACGAGGCACUACGGUGCUGAAGCAACAAAUGCCCUGCUUCCAGGAAAAGCCUCUAAGCAUCAGGUAACAUCAAAUCGUACCCCAAACCGACACAGGUGGUCAGGUAGAGAAUACCAAGGCGCUUGAGAGAACUCGGGUGAAGGAACUAGGCAAAAUGGUGCCGUAACUUCGGGAGAAGGCACGCUGACACGUAGGUGAAGUGAUUUACUCAUGGAGCUGAAGUC
rnacentral:rRNA from 1 species